rnacentral:rRNA from 1 species
UACCAGCACCCCGAGUGGUCGGGACGUUUAUUGGGUCUAAAGCAUCCGUAGCCGGUUCUACAAGUCUUCCGUUAAAUCCAGCUGCUUAACAGAUGGGCUGCGGAAGAUACUAUGGAGCUAGGAGGCGGGAGAGGCAAGCGGUACUCGAUGGGUAGGGGUAAAAUCCGUUGAUCCAUUGAAGACCACCAGUGGCGAAGGCGGCUUGCCAGAACGCGCUCGACGGUGAGGGAUGAAAGCUGGGGGAGCAAACCGG